rnacentral:lncRNA from 1 species
GGGCGGGCCGGGGCGGGGCCUGGCGGGUUGGGGCGGGGCCAGCCGGGAGGUGUGCGAGCGGCGGAGAAGGAUGCUUUUCCAGUCUGCAGAGCUGGCUGGGCCUAAGGGAGAACUUCCCAUCAAAAAAUUGCUUGCAGGAAACAUUAGGCCGCCCUUCUCCUGUGCAAAGGUGAAAUGGCUGCACGUCGAGCAAGAAACGUGAGGGUCCCCAGCCACGCAUUUAGUAUCUCAAGCAAUGAAGUUAUUACACUGUAGAAAGAGGACAUACAAGCCUCAUGCAACCUUUCCUAAGAUUUUCUCUUCUGCUGGUCCAGUUUGGAUGUCAUUCUGUUUCUUACAACCAAUGGCUAAGGCUCCAGCCCCAGUGACCUCCUCAUUCCGGUCUGUAGCUCCUGAUGUGUACUAAGGUGACUCUACCCCAUUUUCAAACAUUCUCCUAUAUCUCACAGUAUCCAUCACAUGCCUGUAUCCACUGACAUACUGUUUUAUUUAUUAAUAUGGUGCUAGUGGGACAGUAGUGAUGGAUGGCUUGCCACCAGGAGCAUUGAUUACCCUUCCAGAGAAUCGAGGUUUGAUUCCUAGCGUGAAGAUGACAGUUCACAGCCAGCUAUUAUUUCAUUUCCAGGGUGCACAGACAUACAUGCAGGCAAAACAUCCCUGUACAUAAAAUAGAUUGAUUAAUAAAAUAAUGAAAGCAAUCUGGAUUACUAUGCUU